rnacentral:rRNA from 1 species
CCUGGUGACUAUAGCGGAGGGGAAACACCCGUUCCCAUCCCGAACACGGAAGUUAAGCCCUCCAGCGCCGAUGGUACUGCCCCGUCUGUGGGUGGGAGAGUAGGUCGUUGCCAGGU